UGGGGAAUUUUGGACAAUGGGCGAAAGCCUGAUCCAGCAAUGCCGCGUGUGUGAAGAAGGCCUUCGGGUUGUAAAGCACUUUUGUCCGGAAAGAAAUCCUUGGCUCUAAUACAGUCGGGGGAUGACGGUACCGGAAGAAUAAGCACCGGCUAACUACGUGCCAGCAGCCGCGGUAAUACGUAGGGUGCAAGCGUUAAUCGGAAUUACUGGGCGUAAAGCGUGCGCAGGCGGUUUGCUAAGACCGAUGUGAAAUCCCCGGGCUCAACCUGGGAACUGCAUUGGUGACUGGGCAGGCUAGAGUAUGGCAGAGGGGGGUAGAAUUCCACGUGUAGCAGUGAAAUGCGUAGAGAUGUGGAGGAAUACCGAUGGCGAAGGCAGCCCCCUGGGCCAAUACUGACGCUCAUGCACGAAAGCGUGGGGAGCAAACAGGAUUAGAUACCCUGGUAGUCCACGCCCUAAACGAUGUCAACUAGUUGUUGGGGAUUCAUUCCUUAGUAACGUAGCUAACGCGUGAAGUUGC
rnacentral:rRNA from 1 species